rnacentral:rRNA from 1 species
AUUGAACGCUGGCGGCAGGCCUAACACAUGCAAGUCGAGCGGUAGCACAAGAGAGCUUGCUCUCUGGGUGACGAGCGGCGGACGGGUGAGUAAUGUCUGGGAAACUGCCUGAUGGAGGGGGAUAACUACUGGAAACGGUAGCUAAUACCGCAUGACGUCUUCGGACCAAAGUGGGACCUUCGGGCCUCACGCCAUCAGAUGUGCCCAGAUGGGAUUAGCUAGUAGGUGGGGUAAUGGCUCACCUAGGCGACGAUCUCUAGCUGGUCUGAGAGGAUGACCAGCCACACUGGAACUGAGACACGGUCCAGACUCUACGGGAGGCAGCAGUGGGGAAUAUUGCACAAUGGGCGCAAGCCUGAUGCAGCCAUGCCGCGUGUAUGAAGAAGGCCUUCGGGUUGUAAAGUACUUCAGCGAGGAGAGGCAUUGUGGUAAUAACCGCAGUGAUUGACGUUACUCGCAGAAGAAGCACCGGCUAACUCCGUGCCAGCAGCCGCGGUAAUACGGAGGGUGCAAGCGUUAAUCGGAAUUACUCGGCGUAAGCGCACGCAGGCGGUUGAUUAAGUCAGAUGUGAAAUCCCCGAGCUUAACUUGGGAACUGCAUUUGAAACUGGUCAGCUGAGUCUUGUAGAGGGGGGUAGAAUUCCAGGUGUAGCGGUGAAAUGCGUAGAGAUCUGGAGGAAUACCGGUGGCGAAGGCGGCCCCCUGGACAAAGACUGACGCUCAGGUGCGAAAGCGUGGGGAGCAAACAGGAUUAGAUACCCUGGUAGUCCACGCUGUAAACGAUGUCGACUUCGAGGUUGUGCCCUUGAGGCGUGGCUUCCGGAGCUAACGCGUUAAGUCGACCGCCUGGGGAGUACGGCCGCAAGGUUAAAACUCAAAUGAAUUGACGGGGGCGCACAAGCGGUGGAGCAUGUGGUUUAAUUCGAUGCAACGCGAAGAACCUUACCUACUCUUGACAUCCAGAGAAAUUGCUAGAGAUAGCUUAGUGCCUUCGGGAACUCUGAGACAGGUGCUGCAUGGCUGUCGUCAGCUCGUGUUGUGAAAUGUUGGGUUAAGUCGCAACGAGCGCAACCCUUAUCCUUUGUUGCCAGCGCGUAAUGGCGGGAACUCAAAGGAGACUGCCGGUGAUAAACCGGAGGUGGGGAUGACGUCAAGUCAUCAUGGCCCUUACGAGUAGGGCUACACACGUGCUACAAUGGCAUAUACAAAGAGAAGCGAACUCGCGAGAGCAAGCGGACCUCAUAAAGUAUGUCGUAGUCCGGAUUGGAGUCUGCAACUCGACUCCAUGAAGUCGGAAUCGCUAGUAAUCGUAGAUCAGAAUGCUACGGUGAAUACGUUCCCGGGCCUUGUACACACCGCCCGUCACACCAUGGGAGUGGGUUGCAAAAGAAGUAGGUAGCUUAACCUUCGGGAGGGCGCUUACCACUUGUGAUUCAUGACUUGGGUG